UUCUUUCUGCUGGAAAAAAACCCAAGCUGCAAGCGCUCACACAUGACUGAGGUGCGAAAUCUUUUUUCUCACUGAAUUUUCUGCCCUGGCCUCACUCCUCAGGGCUGUCUGUGCUGGGUGCGCUAAAUGCCAGGGGCAGGCCACCGCCGUCGCUGUCGAGGGAGAGAGGGAGAUGACCUGCACACUGUGUCCUGGCGUUUGAGAGAACACAAUGCAGCUUCUGUGUUUCUGUGGGAGGCAUGUGAGCCGGCCCCUGAAGCGGCAGGUGAGAAACCACUCUGUUAAGCCAAGUGAGUCUCCAGACUUCAGUGAGGACCCUCAGUGACCUUGGGGUCCCGGCUGAUGUGAGAAGAGGAGCCAGGGUCGCCAGGCCUGCCACUGCUUAGAGACAGGCUUCCUACCAACUUCUGGUUCUCAAACUGGUUUGAGGAAGAUUUCCUGCUGCUCCCCCAUCUGGAGACAGCCCAGCACUCCCCCAACCCACUGCCUACCUUCAGGAAGCUUCUUUCCUCUGUCUCUCUCUCCUCCCCAGACUUGGCCGUUUGAUGGGACUCCAGCUUCCUGACCAACUAGGGGCAAGACCUGGCCUUCGGGGUGACAUCCCAAUGGCGUGGACAGACUGGCUGCAAACCCCAAGAAGAUGCGGGUAGGACCAUCACUGUGGGAGACGGUGGCUGGGGCAUCUUGCUUUUGCCCAGCAUCCACACCUCUGCAAGGGGUGAGCGAGGUGAGAGCGAGCAGCCCCAGCAAUCAGAAGUGGUGGACAAGGAGAGCAGAGCCCUGUGCUUUGAGCCUGGGACCCAGGACGGGACAGGCUUUCUACCUGCAGAUGCUCCCCAGGAAGGAGAAAGACAGAAUCAGGUCUGCAACCAGGCAAAGUCUGGAUCCGAAUCUCUGCUGCCCGUUUAAUACCGGGUCACACGGUUUGGCCUGUUUCCCCAUCUGCAACACGCAGACUACAGAGCCCUGUUCCUGGAGGUGAUCAGGGCCCCAAGUGGGCCAGAGGCAAGCCACCAGCCCUUCACCUUGCAGAGCUAGGCUACAUGUGCAAUGGCCUCCUGGUGACUCCCCUCCCUGGCUGAUGGUGGGGGUGAGAGUGGGGGGUGGGGGACAAGGACUUCUUUGUGGCUGUUCCACGCCCUGAAUUACUGUAUAAAGGUUGUGUGGACAAGGCUAGAAAGAUUAAAUUUGAA